AUAGCUCAGUUGGUAGAGCAAGCGACUCUUAAUCGCUGGGUCGGAGGUUCGACCCCUCCUGCGGGCA
rnacentral:tRNA from 1 species